GGGGAAUAUUGGACAAUGGGCGAAAGCCUGAUCCAGCCAUGCCGCGUGUGUGAAGAAGGUCUUCGGAUUGUAAAGCACUUUAAGUUGGGAGGAAGGGUUGUAGAUUAAUACUCUGCAGCUUUGACGUUACCGACAGAAUAAGCACCGGCUAACUCUGUGCCAGCAGCCGCGGUAAUACAGAGGGUGCAAGCGUUAAUCGGAAUUACUGGGCGUAAAGCGCGCGUAGGUGGCUAAGUAAGAUGGGUGUGAAAUCCCCGGGCUCAACCUGGGAACUGCUUUCAUAACUGCUUGGCUAGAGUACGGUAGAGGGUAGUGGAAUUUCCUGUGUAGCGGUGAAAUGCGUAGAUAUAGGAAGGAACACCAGUGGCGAAGGCGACUACCUGGACUGAUACUGACACUGAGGUGCGAAAGCGUGGGGAGCAAAC
rnacentral:rRNA from 1 species